GUCUUUGGACCGGGAGGAGACCAGGAAGAGAAGAUUUGCACUAUGGUUUCACAUCGCUGUCAUUGUGAGCAUCGGACUGCUGAGUAUUCUCCUCAUCUCCCUGCGCUUCAACUCACCGUCACCCUGGAAAGAGGGGAGAGAGCACUUAC